rnacentral:RNase_P_RNA from 1 species
AGCAGGCUGGACAGCCGCGCGGGCGGGGCGAAAGGCCCGUCUGUGAGGAAAGUCCGGGCUCCAUAGGGCAGGGAUAACGGAUAACAUCCGCCGGGGGCGACCCUAGGAAAAGUGCAACAGAAAUAGUCUGCCGGCCUUCGGGCCGGUCAAGGUGGAAAGGUGAGGUAAGAGCUCACCCGACGGCGUGGAAGCGCCCGUCGCUGUAAACUCUAUCCGGAGCAACGCCGUGGAGGGACACACAGGUCGGCCCGACCGUCCCGGGGAGGCGGCUGGAGCGCGCCGGCAACGGCGCGUCGAGAUAGAUGGCUGUCUUAAAAGACAGAACCCGGCUUACAGGCCUACUUG